rnacentral:rRNA from 1 species
UACGUAGGGCGCGAGCGUUGUCCGGAUUUAUUGGGCGUAAAGAGCGUGUAGGCGGCCAGAUAGGUCCGUUGUGAAAACUGGAGGCUUAACCUCCAGCUGUCGAUGGAAACCAUCUGGCUAGAGUCCGGAAGAGGAGAGUGGAAUUCCUGGUGUAGCGGUGAAAUGCGCAGAUAUCAGGAAGAACACCCGUGGCGAAGGCGGCUCUCUGGGACGGUACUGACGCUGAGACGCGAAAGCGUGGGGAGCGAACAGG